rnacentral:rRNA from 2 species
UUUAUUGAGAGUUUGAUCCUGGCUCAGGACGAACGCUGGCGGCGUGCCUAACACAUGCAAGUCGAGCGAAUGAAGUUCCUUCGGGAAUGGAUUUAGCGGCGGACGGGUGAGUAACACGUGGGCAACCUGCCUCAUAGAGGGGAAUAGCCUUCCGAAAGGGAGAUUAAUACCGCAUAAGAUUGUAGUACCGCAUGAUACAGCAAUUAAAGGAGCAAUCCGCUAUGAGAUGGGCCCGCGGCGCAUUAGCUAGUUGGUGAGGUAACGGCUCACCAAGGCGACGAUGCGUAGCCGACCUGAGAGGGUGAUC